GCCCCACCCAGGACUGGGGAACAGCCCCAGAGCUCCUACUGCUGGUCCUGUGGUAACAGCAGCGCUGGGAUAGCUCCCUUCCCAUGGGGACCUGCACCAGGCCCAGACUCCUCUGUGUGACCCUUUGUCUCCUGGGAACAGGCCUCAUGGAUGCUGGGAUCACCCAGAAGCCUAGACACCUUAUUGUACUCGCAGGAAAAAAGACGACUCUGAAGUGUUCUCAGAACAUGAACCAUUAUUCAAUGUUCUGGUACCGACAAGAUCCAGGACAGGGACCGAGGCUGCUCCAUUACUCAGGCAGUGUUGGCAGCUCUGCUGAGGGAGAAGCCUCCCAAGGGUUCAGUGUCUCCAGGAACGAGACGGAGCACUUCCUCCUGACCCUGGAGACUCCCAGCACCAGCCAGUCCUCCCUGUACCUCUGUGCCAGCAGUGAAGCCACAGCAGUGCACAGCCAGCUGCUCUCUGCACAAGAAGGGCAGCCACAGGGUUCAGGUGGACCCUCCUUCCAGGGCCUCUGUCUCAAGCAGCAGCCAGACCUGUCCUGA